rnacentral:tRNA from 1 species
GGAGUUGUGGCUCAGUGGUAGAGUGCUCACCUAGCAGCAUGAGGACCUGGGUUCGAUCCUCAGCACCA